rnacentral:piRNA from 1 species
UUACUCACAUGACUGCUUACGCUUUAUCAGU